GUGAAUCAUCAAAUCUUUGAACGCAAAUUGCACUCUCUUCGGAGAGUAUGCCUGUUUGAGGGUCAGCCUAAAAAAAAUCGACGUAGUCGCUGUUUCGCGGUGACAUUCGUCGGAAAUUGGGUCAUCUUAAACCUUUGGGUUUUUUAAGCGGCUUAAAAUUUUCUUUACGAUUCCACGAACGUUUCUAAGAUUUUUUUUCUUUACACGUUUAAGGUGUCAAAUGUCUAUUAGACGUGACCGUCGCAUCGGAUUGCGUCCAUAAAUCUUUCGUUAACUGACCUCAAAUAGGUAAGAGUACCCG
rnacentral:misc_RNA from 1 species